GAUCGCGCACUGAGUUUUUAUGUUUUGGCGAGACAUCGCACUGAUUUCUUAGCUCUAGCUUUACGUGGACAUGUCUUAACAACCAUUUUUUUGUGUGUAAAUAAUUAUACGACACAGCUAAAUGUCGUUUGCUCCAAACUAGCAAAACAUGUGUGCCGCGGCACCCCCAUGCCACGGGUAGACACAUGGAGGUCAAUAGACAGUCAUAGGGAUAGAGUCAUGUUCGGACCUAAAAAUAAAAUAAAGGAUAUGAACACUUCCAAAAAAAUCAAGAUAUAUUCCAAUUGCCUUGGAUGAGCAUUAAAAAUCAGCUAAUGUUGACAAAUUCUGAGUGUGCAUGGAACAACACCCCCCCCCCCCCCGCCCGCGCGGGGUUAUCCACACGUUGUUUCGUGUCUCAAAGCCAAUAAUCAAAGAAAUACAAAUCACAACAUAGGCAUCUAGCAGGACCAUCACCAUAUGGCUCGAUAAUGGUACAUAACAAAAGCAUAGAUAGACAGGUGGGAUUCCGUAGAAUAGCCAAGUCUGUGACAAGUGGUCGAGACAUAAACCUGAUGGAAUCAAAUCUGACACAAUCCUAAGGAAUCCUCGUCUUUUAUUCCCAUGAAACAAAAGGUACACAUCAAAAAAUAAAUAAAUUGUGAGAAUCCUUCAAAAAUCAUGUAAACUCAAUUAGCCUAGAAAUGGGACACUGGCACAAUGACGGAGCUAUGUGCAUUUUGUCCCCCCCCCCCCCCCUCAAAAGAAAAAUCUAAGUGUGCACGGCACAACCUCACACACCCCCGCUAAUUAUGUCAUUAGUUGUGUUGGCCUUGUUAUCCACACACGUUGUUUCGUGUCUCAAAGUCAAUAAUCAGAGGAAAACAAAUUACAACAUAGGCAUCUAGCAGGACCAUCACCAUAUGAUUCGACAAUGUUACAUAACAAAAGCAUAGAUAGGCAGGUGGUAUUCCGUAGAAUAGCCAAGUCUAUGACAAGUGGCCGAGACAUAAACCUGAUGGAAUCAAAUUUGACACAAUUCUAAGGAAUCUUCAUCUUUUAUUCCCGUGAAACAAACGCUACACAUCAUAAUCUGAAAAUCCUUCAAAAAUCAUGUAAACUCAAUUAGCCCAGAAAUGGGACACUCACACAAUGGCGGAN
rnacentral:lncRNA from 1 species